ensembl:lincRNA
GCUUCUACUGUCCCUUGCCUGGCCUGGCAUCCGUAUCUGGACCUUGCAGCGCAGGGUUCUACUGCACUCAGGGAGCAUCUGUCCCAAAUCCCAGCGAUGGGACCACAGGAGACCUCUGUCCUCUGGGCCACUUCUGCCCCCAGGGCAGCCCCAGGCCCACUCCGUGCCCCCCGGGCUCUCUCCUGCCCAUCCCUGGGGCCACGUCAUGGAAGGACUGCCAGCCAUGCCCAGCCGGUUGGCUCUGCUCCCGGGCUGGCCUGAGCUCCCCGGACACUCCAUGCAAAGGAGGUUGGUUCUGCCCUGGGUCCUCCGUCUCUGGACACAGUCCAGGCAUUCUCUGCCCCACUGGGCACUCGUGUCCCCCAGGCAGCCUGGAGCCCCAGCUCUGCCCCCCGGGGCAAUAUCAGGACAAGCCUGGACAGAGUCUCUGCAAGACUUGCCCUGCUGGAAAGUGAGGCGCUGGGCUGGGCUGGGCUCCUCCUCUGUCUGGGUGACUCCUGACUUCUCCUGCCCCCACGCCCCAGGAGCCCCCACAUGUUGCAGGGACUGGUGGCCACGGGCACUCCGGGCCCCUGUCACCCUGUGAAAUCCAGCAUAAUAGACACUAACACCAGUGCAGGGGCGUGGAGGGCUGCAGGCUUCAAACAAGACUCUGAGAGAGGAGGACAUUUUUGCCUCAGUGCCCAUCUCCUCUGAACUCACAACUGCUUCUGCCCCAACCCUCCACAUCCCGAGAGCUCUGGGCAAGCCCCCUUCCUAGAAAGUCUGCGGCUAUAGAAGUCCUUGUUCCUUUGUUCCUGACCACCUCAUGUCCACAGGUUCUGUCCCUAUGGGAUCCAAGCUCCAGGAGCCAUGUCCCUUUGGCCAGUGGACUGUCCAGCCGGCUACUACUGCCCUUUGGGCACCCAGAGCCCCACCCAGCACCCUUGUCCCAGGGGCACCUUCAGGGAGAGGCCCGGUGCACGCAGCACUCAGGACUGCAGGCCCUGCCCUGCUGGACAGUUCUGCUCGGACUCAGGGGCUGGGAAACGCUUCCCGGACGGGCCAUGCUCAGCAGGUUACUACUGUCCCCCUGGCCAGACCUCAGCCACCCCUUCAUCUUUCCGGUGCCCACCUGGCUUCUCCUGUCCAGAAGGUUCUCCCCAGCCAAGGGCUUGUGAGAAUGGAACCUUCCAGCCCCAGGAGGCCCAGGGGUCCUGUGAGCCCUGCCCCGCUGGGUUCUACUGCCAGGCCUCGGGCACAGGUCCCGCUGCCAGAGCGCCCAGACCAUGUAUCCAGGGUUACUUCUGCCCCCCCGGCUCCCACUCAGCCACUGCCCACCCGUGCCCUAGAGGGACUUUCGGGCCCAGGAGAGGGGCCGCUGCAGAGCUGGACUGUGAGCUGUGCCCAGCAGGGAUGUUCUGCUCCUCGGAAGGACUAUCUCGGCCGUCAGGGCUCUGCCACCCCACCCACUACUGCUCAGGGGGUGCGGUGUCCCCCACCCCCAUCCAGCACAAGGUACAUCUGCCUGGGGGGCAGUGUCGUCCCCUCACCCUCUGACGGAGCCCAUGGAUACAGAUGUCCCUCCGGUUUCCGCUGCCCCGCGGGGGCCCACAGCGAGCUGCCCUGUGAGCCUGGCACCUUCAGCCCAUUGCCUGGGGCUGACACCUGCCUGCCCUGCCCGGGAGGUACCUACUGCCAGAAAGCUGCCACCGUGGAGCCCGUCACCUGCCCCAAGGGUCACUACUGCCCAGCAGGGACGCCUUCUCCUCAUCCCUGCCCAGAGGGGACCCUGAACCCACGAGAAGGUGCUCUCUCCUCCAGGGCCUGCCAGCCCUGCCCUGCAGGGAUGUACUGCCCUGGGGAGGGCAACAGGCAGCCUGAGGGACCUUGCUCAGCCGGUUACUACUGCGAGGGGGGUGCCUCUAGCUCCACUCCCUGGAGAAACUCUGCCUUCCCCCUCAACGGGCCUUGCCCUAGAGGCCACUACUGCCCACAGGGGACCCUGCAUCCUGUUCCCUGCCCCAUGGGGAGGACAAGGAGCAGCCCAGGCGGCGUCUCUGAGGAGAGCUGCAGGCCCUGCCCAGCUGGCUCCUUUUGCCCAAGCCUGGGCCUUGGCUCUGCCCCUGGCUCCUGUGUGGCCGGCUCUGAAUGCCCCUUGGACUCCAGGGCCCCUAGUCCCACCGCUCUGCUCUGCCCACAGGGCCACUCCUGCCCACCCGGGGCUGCUCGGCCUGCCCUGUGCCAUCCCGGAGAGUACCAGCCCUCCCCAGGCUCAGAUGCCUGCCUCCAGUGUCCACCUGGCUUUUACUGCCCGCAUCCUGGAACCAGAGCGCCCCAGCUCUGCCCAGCCCACGCCUACUGCCCAGCCGGUAUGCCCAGCAGCCCCCAGUUCCCAUGCCUCCUGGGCUCUCUUCUUUCCCAGUAACUCCCCCAUCCUACCCACCUUCCUUCCUUCAUGUCAUUCAUUCAUUCGUUCUCAAUCCACAGAGGGCCUACUGUGCAUCGGGCACCAAGCUCACACUAGGAAGCCCAGUGUGCAGAGCUCACUCACAGCCUCAGCCCUCCCUCCACCCAACCCCACACCUCACUCUCCCCCUACCCUCUUGUUUCUCUUCCCUCCCUCUGUUGACUCACCCACGCUCGGUGCCCACCUCCUUUCUGCACCCUCUCUGGGGGCCCCAGCGAGCACCUGGACAACAGACUGCAGCAGACUGCUGUCAUCGGCUGUGCUAGUCUGGGGCGACAGUCUGGGGUGGCCUCCUGAGCUCUGCCUGGAGAGGGGCCCUGCGGUGACGUCAGGGUUCUGGGGGCAUGACAAACGAGACGGCAGAGCUAUAGCAACUGCAGGUUUGCUUGCCCAGAACACACUGCGCAGGAGCCCACACUUGCACCAGCAUGUCCACAGGCAAGUACCUGUACAUACACACAUGCAUGCUCACACACUCUCACAGCGCACACGCACACACCUACAGACGCACAAACAUGCACACACAGUACAUGUGCACACACGAACAUGCUGCCCAUGGGCAGCCCAGCACACAGGCAGGUGUCCACAAAAGUCCAUAAGCUUUGUCACGUCUUAGGUAAACGUGGGAGAAAAUUCCCCUGCCCAUUUUAGGGUGGCAAGCAUGCUACAUACACAAGUGAUGUGUACGUUUGUCUUUCCUGUGCCUGUGGUGUGAAAGUUAUACCCCUUUUAAAUGACCAACCUCCUAGUCCAGAAUAUUUAGGACAUCCCAAAUUCAAAUAACGUGGCCUGUUGUCCCGUGAUUGCAUGUCGUACUAGUCACACACACACACAAUACACACACACACAGCACACAUAUAGUACACACACACAGUACACACACACCAUACAUAGUACACAUAUAGUGUACACACACCACACACACAGUACACAUACAGUACACAACACACACACACCCCUUGGGGGGAGACGGCUCUCCUGGACCACCCAGACCCCCACCCAGACCAUCAGCACCCCCUUGCUGAGGUGCUGAUGCUCUUACUCUUAACGUCCCCUCAAACUAAACCUGCACCUUUCAGCUUCUUACUCCCACUCCAACUGCUCCCUCUAAACCUUUUCCUCUGUCAGGAAAUUUAUUUCCAUUCAGGGCAUGUGCACUAGUAUCUACCAGCCCAGCCUACAUGCACAAGGAAACACUGAGACCAGCAGAGCCAGAGGGCGCCCACCAGGACAAAGGCCAAGGCUGUGAUGGGGUUGGGGGUGCUGCGUCAUGGAGGAUGGAACAGCCACAGGAGUGCUGCCCCACAGCUGGCGGGGCAGAGUGCCUGGGAGGGAGGAAGUGGGGGGGGGCGGCUCCUGCUUAGACCUGGCAGGGGGUGGGGGAUUGAGGCAGGAGGAGGGGGAGGGGGAGGAGGGGGGGGAGGGAGGGUGGGGGGGGGAGGGAGGGUGGGGGGGGAGGGAGGGUGGGGGGGGUGUGGCCAAGGACUCUGAUGCACGCAGAGUCCUUCUUGAAAAGGACUCCUUGAAAACCCUCUAUGGGAGUUCUUCUUGUAAAGAGACAGUGACCCCAGGGGGAGGGACUAAGGGCACUACUGCCACCAUCAGCUCUGAAGAAGCCGCCUGAGAAACUUGGUGCCCUCAUGGCAGCAGGCACUGUUGGGUGGGGGCCUGGGACAGAAACGCUUUUGUGAGCCCACCCUUCCGGGCAGGUCCAAGGCACAGACGUGGCCCAGGCCAUCCACUGGCCACCUUUCACCAGCUGCUCCCCCUCUCCAGGAACGUGGUCCCCACCUCCAUGUCCACCAGGGACCUUCACUCCCAAGGACAUGCCAGGCCUCCAGGAAGAGGGUGACUGCUCUGUCUGUCCCCCUGGUCACUACUGCAGGUCAGUAACAGCCCAAUCAUUCACCCCCUACCACUGCCAUCGAAGUGCACCCUCAGGAUGAAGAGGCCCAGGGUCCCUUAGCCUGUCCCAGAGUCUCCAAACCGUGGAGGCCGGGGCAGCCAGUAAGACCACUGGCCACAUGGCCUGAAAAGGAAGGGGAAGCCUGACAAGUGCAUAGAGACAGUUAGAAAGUCAGGACAAUUAGUAC